ACCCCCAAUCUCCACCUUCAUCCUGAUCGUCUCCUAAAAGGUCGUAUCCUCCGAUCGUAGCUGAUCGUAACCAUUCAAGUUAACGUGUCAAUUUACACCGGCUUCUUUUCAAAAUAAAACACUCCGUGUUUCAGGAGGAUCGUAUUUCACACCAUGCAAACGGGCGGAGACGAACAAGUGAAAGGUUUUUAGACGUCAUUUCACCCCGAUGACACCAUGGAUGAGGAGAUGCUGAUUCUAGAAGUCUAGAAGUAGAUUUCCUCCUCUGGAAGGACACAAUCUACUGCUUAUAUGUCUAUGUGUCUGUCUUUAUAGAGACAACUCGUUAUCGUGAGAUUGAACGUGAAUCCACGGGUUCUUGUGAGUUCUCGCGAUUACUGCUGUCUGUAAUCCGCC